UAUCUACCUUAGGUGGCACCCCAAGCCCCAUCAUGCUCUGGUUCUUGCAGACUUGUAGAGUUACUACUUUGGUGGUCUUGGAUAAAAUCUGGACAAAUUCUCUGGAUUACCAGGCAGAGACUCUUGUUCUUUUCUUACUUUCUCCCAAACAGAGUCUCUCUAUUCCUCUGUUCUGAGCCACCUAGAUCUGGGAGUGGUGUGACACAAGCAUUCCUGUGGCCACCAGCUCUGGGACUGCACUUGGUCAGACCUGAAGGCAGCACAUCACUGGGUCUCACCCAAGGCCUGAUGUGACAACAACCUGGCCACUGCCUGUUUUCUCAAGUUCCUGGGGCUUUACAGUCAGCAGGUGGCAAAGCCAGCCAGGCUUGCGUCCUUCCCUUCAAGGCAGCAAGUUUCCCUAGGGUGGAGUCAGAGGUGCCGUCCAGGAGCCAGAAACUGAAGUCAAAAUCCUUAGAAGUCUACCUGAUUCUAUUGUACUGCAGCAGAGCUGGCACUCAAACCAUGAGUCACAGUCCUUCCCACGCUUUCCUCCCUUUUCCCCUGGCAGAGAGGCCUCACCCCAUGGUUACCACCCCCACAGACCCAACAGAAUACUGCCAGGCUACUGCAGAUGUUCCAUUAAGGCCUAGGGGCUUUUUAGUCAGCGUAUGGUGAAUGCUGCCUGGCCCAGAACUCAACAUUCAGAGCAGUGGGAUCCCCUCUGGCCUAGGAUAGGUCCAGAAAAGCCAAGGGCUGGAAUUGAGGAUCCCAGGAGCCCACUUGGUGCUUUACACCCCUGUGGCUGAACUGGUACCUAAGGUGCAAGACAAAGUCCUCUUUACUUUUUCUUCUGCUUUUCUCACGCAAAAAAGUUUCAUGUGAAGCCAGCAAGUCUCAGAUUCUCUCUCAGGGCCCACAGUGUCCUACCUGGAUACCACUGCUGGUUAUUCAGGGCACAAGGGCUCUUUAGUAAGCAAGUAAUGGAUCCUGACAGGACUGGGCUUUUUCACUUGAAGGCAGCAGGUUUCCUUUUGGCACAGGGUAUGUCUAGAAAUGUCAUCUGGGAGCUAGGGCCUGGAAAGGGGGCCUCACAACUCUGGCUGGUGCUGUAUCCUACUGUGGCCGAGCUGGCGGGAUGAUUGGCGGAAUCUUCUAUUUGACCGUCUUGCUCUACUCCUCAAAAAGUUAUUUGUUUUAAUAAAGUGGGAUACAGAAUACAUGCUUUUGAAAUCUUUAAUGGAAUACAUCAAGAAAAUAGCACGUAAAAUAUUUCAUAAUGCUAACUAACCUUGUAACGCUAUGUGUGUCUUCUGCUCAAUUGGAUAGUAAGUAAGCUCUUUUGGGAAAAACACUGAGCUAAAUUAAUUUUUAAUUUCUUUUGAACUUCAGAAUUAUGUACAAGAAUAUAUCCUCAAUAUUUUGGAAUAAUCUCGUAUAAAUUUUCCAAAUAGGCUGACUUUGGAAAGUAUGUCCUAUAAGAGACAAAGAAAACAACUCUAGAAUCUAUCCCCUCAAUAUGAGUGACAGCCAACCAAGCAAAAUAAGUCUAAGUAGAGGAUAUCAGGAUUUCAGCUAUAACCAUGAUUAGAGAAGGUGAUGUGCAUACAAAGUUAUAUUGACAUGGUGAAAUAACUAUUUGAGAUUAAAUAGGAAAUACAAAUGAGAAUAUCUGUAUAGGAUUGAAAUAACUAAAAGUGGACACAAUCAAAAUGUCUCUAAAAGAAUGGAAUGAAUAAACUGUGUGCUAUGUUUCUACUAUGGAAUAUUAUACAGCGUUGAAUAGGAAUGAACUGAAGUUACACGUAAGAAUGUGUAUGUAUCUUCCAAGCAUGUGAAAUAAUGAACAAGAUGCAAAAGAUUCAUAUAGUAUAGUUCCAUUUUUAUAAUAUUUAUACAUAGACACAACUAAGCUGUAUUGAUUAGGAAUAUAUAUAUAAAUGAUGAAAUGACAAACAGUAGCAAAAAAACGUAACACAAUAAAAAUCAGGACAAUGGUUACCUCUGGGAUGAUAAAUGAGGAGCAAUGGGGAGUGGACAUGAAAGGAUUCUGGAAUGCUGAAAAUGUUUUGAGUUUUACUUGAGUUGUAGUUUCACAAGAGUCUGCUUUAUAAUUAUUCUUUAAAUUAUGCAUGUAUGUUUUAUGCUGUCUUCUGUGGGUAUAUCUCAUGAACAAGUAAUUCCAGGAAGAGAAAAAAAUCAACAUCCAGCGAACCCAUAAAAAGAUUCCUAACUUAACAUAUAAUAAUGAAAAAGAAAAUUAAAUGAGAUGCGGUUUUACACUCACUAGACUGGCAAAACUAAAAAGUAUUGUGCGAAUGUAGAGAAAGGUGAUGGUGAGUGUAAAUUCACAUAAACAUUUUGGAAAAAGAUUUGGUAUCUAGAAAAGUUGGUGCUUAUACCCCUUGACUCAACAACUUCACCAUUAGGUACAUGUAGAGGAAUUCUGGUACAUAUGCAGGAGGUACACACAAAAAAGUUUAUAGUACUAUUUCUUUUUACAACAGCAAAAUAUUGUAAAAAUAAAUUGAAAUGUUCUGUAAUAGGAGCAUGGAUAAUCCUAGCUAGCUCCUCUCUGUAAUUAUGAAAAUUAAUGAAUUACUAUUAUAUGCAUUAACAUAGAUUAAUCACACACAUAAUAUGAAAAAUAUGCCAUAGAAAAAUACAUGUAGUAUGAUUUCUAUUAUUGCUCAAACACAUGUAAUAUGAAAAUAAGUAAUUAUCUACAUACAUGUGUGGUAAGAUUGAAGAAAAGCAAGAGAGUAUUCAAUAUAAAACUUCAAGUUUUUAAACACUCUGGAUGGUAAAUAAAAGGAAAUAUGAAGAGUGAUGCACAAUGGGCUUUAAAUUUAUUGGUAGUAUCAUAUCUUAAUCCAAGAAGUAGCUGCACAGGUGGUUGUCUCAUUAGUACUCUACAUAGCUUUCAUAAGCUAUAUAGAUGCAUAUGCUCUAUACAUGUAUACAUGCAACAUGACUUAUAUAUGCAUGACACAAUCCUUAGUUUAAAAUGGGAAAGGGAGAAAAUACAGAAAAAGAUGACUUUUAUAUGUCAAAAUGAAAUAGCCUUCAGGGUAAAUUAGUGGAAAAAAAGUAAGGCAAACAAAAUGUGUAUAGGAUGCUAUGAUUAGUAUAACUAAAGUAUAAAAUGAGAAUAAAUACACAUUUUGCUUAUUUGUAUUGAACAUUUUGGGGAAAUUAUGCAGAAAACUGGUGACUCGGUUGCCAGCCAGAAGUGGGUGUUUGGAUGACAAUUUUAUGGGGGAAAGAAUUUUCAUUGGAAGGCCUCCUGUUACAGAACUUACAGUACAAGUUCUGUAAACUUUAGACUCUUGUACUAAGUAAAUACAUUACAACUAUUAUAAUAGUUACAAUUUAAAAAUUUUAAAUAAAUUAUCCUACCCAAAUUUUCUGAUGAAAUGGAGUCCAAUAACAAAGGACCAAGGGAUUCUAUCCUCAGUUUUUUCACCUAGAGCUCAUAAUAUGACGAAUUAAAAAAAUCUUCCUAUUGCCACAAAGGGAAGGGAAUAAAGGAAGGGAUACUGUGAUUAUUAGUUUUUUAAUCACAAGUGAUACACAUGAAAUAGUAGAAUGGGACAGAAUUCAGUUAACGUUAAGCCAGAAAAUCACACCAAAUGUCAAAUUUUCACAGUCAUUCUCAUUAACAACAUUUAUGCCAGUCAUACACACUGGUUUCCACAGAGACCAACCAAAUUUUCUAACAGUUACUGGCUUUAUAAUCUGACUUUCUAACAAAAACUAGCUUAUUAUAUUCCUGCAAAGACUAAUGUUGAGUAACACAGAAGAGCAGCAUGAAAGAACUAACAUUGUGAGCCAAAGUAAAUCCAUUUAUUUAUAACGUGGUCUGGCCAAUUUUUGGACAGUCAUAUUUUAUAACCUUCCAUGAACCUGGAAUUUUCCUUUAACAAUUGUGCUAAAUUUACUAAAUAUAUCAUUCCAUUGUCUAAAAUUGACAAAGCUUUUAUUUUAAUAAACUGAUUAUUUUGUAAUUUAACACUAGUAAUUUUUAAAAUGCUUUUAGUUAGCACAGAGCUAAUUUAUUCCUAUUUUGCUUGUUUGCCAAUUUGCUGUACUGUCAUAAGGGUUGUUACUUUAAACCUUCAAGUAGUGUCUUAAAAUAAUCCAGGCGCUAAAGUUACUAGUCCUGGUAUCCUGGUACAUUAUACAAGUUAACAAACAUUUGUGUGACAACUAUAUGUAAAACACUCUGCCAGAAAGUAGAAAGACACAGAGGGAAAUAUAUAUGAAUUUUAUAGAUAGAUAGAUAGAUAGAUAGAUAGAUAGAUAGAUAGAUGAUAGAUAGAUAGAUAGAUAGAUAAGAUAGAUAAAGCUUUUCAAAAAAUUUGUUUGCAGGGGAGGGCCCAGAUGUACUCUGAUUGGUUAAUGAAAGAUAGCAAAGAAAAUUAUUUGAAUUGGUUGUGACGGUCUGUGCAGCAGCUUGGGCUUGUUGAGAAGUCUGAUGUAAUUGGAGCUUUCUGAAUUCUACAAGGAUUCAGGGCAGAAGGAACAUUUUACCUCUAUCCUACAAGAUGAGAAGGGGGAUUUUCAAAAUGAAGAAGGAGUAUGAGUUAGCUAAGAUUGGUAGUAUGGAAGUAAAUGACAUAUUUGGAAAACAAAGAGUUGAAAUAGCCUGAGUUGAAAUAGCAAGUUGGGAGAUCUCAGAGAAAUAAGAUGAGAUCAUGCUAUGGAAGGCCAUGAAAGCAAUGCUAAGUCAUUUACAUUGUUUUUAUUUUCUUCAUGGCGAACCAUUAAAUGGUUUUGGAAAUAUUGGUAAAAUGCUUAAAUUUGAGAUAAUUUUAUUUAUUUAUUUAUUUAUUUUUGACAGCCUCGCUCUGUCGCCCAGGCUGGAGUGCCAUGGGCUCACUGCAACCUCUGCCUCCCGGGUUCCAGCAAUUCUCCUGCCUCAGCCUCCUGAGUAGCUGGGAUUACAGGCGCCCACGACCACGCCCAGCUAAAUUUUUGUAUUUUUAGUAGAGAUGGGGUUUCACCGUGUUAGUCAGGAUGGUCUUGAUCUCCUGAUCUAGCGAUCCACCCACCUUGGCCUCCCAAAGUUCAGGGAUUACAGGUGUGAGCCACCAUGUCUGGCCUGAAAUAUUUUUAAAAAAGAAAUAUUUGGUCAUUCAGAUUGGCAAACAGAUUUUUUAAAUAAAAUUGUGAUAAAAUACACAUAAAUCUAAGAAAGUAAACAGGUGAAGGAAAGAAUAUGGCUUGAUAAAUCAAUUAGGAAAUAGAUUUCAUUAGGAAGAUGCCCUAGAGGUUAGCCGUCACAGGCCUUGACUAGUAAUGCUGCCCACUGAACAUAAAAUAUAAUGGCUUUGGACAGAAAAGUAUCAUGUAGGUGGAUCAGAAAAGGGUUGUAUAAAGCAAUACAGUAAGAGGGAAUAGAAUAAUUUUAAGGUCACCUGGCUGAUGUAUUGACAGUGCCAGGAAUUAAGAGCAAGGGAUAUAGUAUUCAGCUCUAGUACCAUAUACAACCUUCUGGCCAGGAGCUCUUUCAAUGACUGAGCAGGGACUUAGAAGGCUGAAGAUGAACAUAUAUAUCCAGUUACUUUUCUUUCACAAGCUUCUGUGGAAACAGAAACAACUCAGGACAUUUCAAAUGAGCCAAUAGUCUUUAUUGAAUACACAAAACAUAUUCAUCCAAGUUCUAGGUUUUAAAGAUUAUAAUUAAGUUUAUACAGUGAUAUAUAGUCAAGAACAAAGUUUUACAUCUUAUAAAAACAUGCAGUCAUAUCUUAACACAAUAUUAUGAUGUUUCCAUAUCUUGUGGUAUUGCCAUGGGAAAACAUAAAUUUGUUGUUGUAAGUUUACUGCAAAAUCAGCUGUCAGAUAAGCCUUAAUUUAAAGAUAAUUAGCUUUUUUUUUGUAAUUGGAAACAUGAGGAGAAUGUGUAAAAUACCCCAAAGGAAACAGACCCAGUUGGCAGAGUAAAUUAGUUUUGAUUUACAUGAGAUUUUAUAUGCCUAGAGAUUUUGGUAUGAAAAAAACUAAACUUCCAAAAUCCUAAAACAAUUUUAGUUCAUUUUAUUUCUUCUGUUUACCUAACAUUGAUUUAUUGCUUUUUAUUGCUAUCUCAACUACCCCAAGCCUUUAAAAAGCUGCCUUAUCAUCUCUCUAUGGUCAUUAGACUUUGCAAAAGAAGAAUUAAAUUCUAUAUGGUAGAAGGUGUUGGUAAUUUUCAAAUUAUAUUGCAGUGGCUUCAUUUUAUGACAAAUAUAAGAAUAAAAAUCAUCUAAUUGGACUGGAAAUUCAUGAUUAUUAUUGGUUAUGUGUUCCUGAGCCCUAGAAUGACAUUCUACUGUGACCACACAAUCCCUAAACAGGAGGUAAAUGAAUUCUUUUCAAGGCAAUCAACCCCAUAUUUAUUCUGUGAAAAUCCUGGAAAUUCUGGCCAUUUUUAUCAACAUUCUUCCUCAUUUGCUAUGUGUUAGUCUCCAGUGGGGUUUCCAGGUGAACAAGUCCCUAAGGAGCUCAAUCAAGUGGGGAAAGAGUCACACAUAUCAACGUUUCACAGCUAAAAUGAUUUGGUGACAGUGAAUACAAUGUGGAGCACAGAGAACAGAGUGACAAAUAACGGCAUUUUCUGAGGUCUCACUGUUGCCCAAGCUGGAUUGCAAUGGCAUCAUCCUAGUUCCCUGCAGCCUGGAACUCCUGAGCUAAAGCAAUCCAUCCGCCUUAGCCUCCUGAGUAGCUGGAACUACAGCGAUGCCGUCUCCUGAGAGGUCCAAGAAUCACCUCAGCACUUUCUUAUGUGCGAUAGGCCAGACCAAGUAAGGGCCUGCCUCACUACUGGAGCCAACUCAGGUGUCCUCCCAAGGCCAGGGAUCUGCAUCACUUCCAGAUUGUUUCGGAAUGAGUCCUGGCAUUGCUGCUACCAAGGUGUAUUUUUACUGCAGUCUGUAUUACUUUCCUAGGGAUGAUGUAAGAAAGUAUCACAAAAUUAGUGGCUUAAAGCCACAAGAAUGUAUCCUACUGUAGUUCUACAGGCAAGAAGUCAAAAUCAAGCUGUCAGCUGGGCCACAUCCCUCUAAAGGCUCUAUGGAAACAUUUUCCUUGUCUCUUUCAGAUUCUGGUGGCUCCAGUCAUUCCUUGGCUUGUGGCUGUAGAACUGUAAUCUCUGCUUUUGUCUUCACAUGGCCUUCUGCUCUUCUUCCUGUGCCUCUCCUUUGCGUGUCUCUUAUCAGGACACGUGUCAUUGAAUUUAGGACCCAUCUGGUUAACCC
rnacentral:lncRNA from 10 species